CAUGGUUUGGAGACAUCCAAUGAAAAGAGAAGCGCGGUGAGGGAAAAUCCCGAGUCCGCCACGGUCCCGCCGCUGUGAGGCUGAGAACAUUCCAUAGGGUCACUGGGAAACCGGGAAGACGGAAUGGUCUAUGAAGCUGAGUCAGAAGAACUGCCUUUUGAAUA
rnacentral:ncRNA from 1 species